AUCUGAUUUGGAGCAAUUCUUUUGGGCAGUUACGGUGGCGCUUGGUGGCAAAUGGACCACACCUUGUUUCCUUUCCGGUUUGGAGCAAUGUUUGUGGCAUUUGGCAUCAUAUCCAUUUUGUCUGAGAAGUACCCCAGUCCAUGUCUGAUGCUCCUAAGACGCCUCAAUGCUGUGCUGAUUGUCCUUUCAGCCCCUGGAGCUCUGCGUCACCACCAGCUCUGCCAUCUUGGGGAUCAAGGCUCUGUGGAGCAUUGAGGGAAGGCAGCAGGGAGAAAACAAGGUAGAGUAUGCAAAAUCAUAUCUUAUUGUUAAACCUGUGUUUACCCAGGAAAGGAUAACUGAACAUGAAUACAUUUAUUCUUUUUUCUUUUUAUCCCACGUUUGAGGACUAAUGAGCGAACAGGGCUAAAAGCUCAUGAA